GACGAACGCUGGCGGCGUGCUUAACACAUGCAAGUCGAACGAAGCUUGAUUACGGAUUCCUCGGAUGAAGUAUGAUAUGACUGAGUGGCGGACGGGUGAGUAACGCGUGAGUAACCUGCCCUUCAGAGGGGGAUAGCGUUUGGAAACGAACGGUAAUACCGCAUAAUGUAUUUUGACCGCAUGAUCGAAAUACCAAAGAUUUAUCGCUGAAGGAUGGACUCGCGUCUGAUUAGGUAGUUGGUGGGGUAACGGCCCACCAAGCCGACGAUCAGUAGCCGGACUGAGAGGUUGAUCGGCCACAUUGGGACUGAGACACGGCCCAGACUCCUACGGGAGGCAGCAGUGGGGAAUAUUGCACAAUGGGCGCAAGCCUGAUGCAGCAACGCCGCGUGAAGGAAGACGGUUUUCGGAUUGUAAACUUCUGUUCUUAGUGAAGAAUAAUGACGGUAGCUAAGGAGCAAGCCACGGCUAACUACGUG
rnacentral:rRNA from 1 species